AUAUGUAAAGAAAACCACAUUUUAUUAGGGUUUCCUUUAGUUUUCUAGUUACCUGGAAUGUCAAUAACUGACAUUUCAGAAUUGUCAAAAAGAUAAUCUGUUUUAUUUCAUAAUUGUGAUAGAGGCUUUAAAUGUAGUUUCCCUCAUUUAUUGCAGAGAAACACAAUUAAGUCGAUAUCCAAAUAAAUAGGACUUAUUAUAAAACUACAU